GACGAACGCUGGCGGCGUGCCUAAUACAUGCAAGUCGAGCGAAUCGAUGGGAGCUUGCUCCCUGAGAUUAGCGGCGGACGGGUGAGUAACACGUGGGUAACCUGCCUGUAAGACUGGGAUAACUUCGGGAAACCGGAGCUAAUACCGGAUACUUUCUUUUACCGCAUGAGGGAAGAUGGAAAGAUGGUUCUGCUAUCACUUACACAUGGACCCGCGGCGCAUGAGCUAGUUGGUGAGGUCACGGCCCACCAAGGAAACGAUGCGUAGCCGACCUGAGAGGGUGAUCGGCCACACUGGGACUGAGACAAGGCCCAGACUCCUACGGGAGGCAGCAGUAGGGAAUCUUCCGCAAUGGACGAAAGUCUGACGGAGCAACGCCGCGUGAGCGAAGAAGGCCUUCGGGUCGUAAAACUCUGUCGUUAGGGAAGAACAAGUACGAGAGUAGCUGCUCGUACCUUGACGGUACCUAACCAGAAAGCCACGGCUAACUACGUGCCAGCCGCCGCCGUAACAC
rnacentral:rRNA from 1 species